rnacentral:lncRNA from 1 species
UGGCUUGUCAAAACUACAAGGAAUGAAAAGGAGGGAGUAAGCAUAAAUGCUUAAUAAGUUCACAUGCAAAUAGCAAGUAACAUAACCAUAUAAGCAAACAUAAAACAUCAUUUGCAUAAUCAUCACCAAGACAUUCAUAUCACAUUUUCAUUUAUCAUCUUACCAUAUUGUUGUUAUAUCAAUUUUUCAACCCGAGAGUUAAAUACAUACCUGUUCAAAGUAUCCAUUUCACAACACUUACCAAUACGUCCCUUUCAUCUUGAGUAUUCCUCCAUUUCAGUAGAACUUUACCCAUUGAACACAUCGGAAUAUAAUUCGGAUACAUGGAAAGUUUGCACAUAAGUGCCACAUAUGCAGCCAGGCUACCAUGUAACCUUCCCAUAAG